rnacentral:lncRNA from 1 species
CCUUCCAAACCGGUUCAAACCCAAUGGUCCUCUCUGCUUCUCCUACAACCUUGACCGCAACAACGUUCAACUGCACAUAGCGUUGAUUGUUCGAGGGAAAGUUCAUCCAUUUCAUUGUAAUUAAUCAAAUGGCAGGGGCUUGUAGAAAUCCACGGAUAUGAAAAACAAAAGAAAAGGAAUGGAUCUACUAUUCCAAUUCCAUUUGUGGCACAGACUCAACAAGAAAAUUAAAACCCAAAGGAACCAA